UUCGCGGUCUGGGCCCUCCCCGCGGGCGGGGUGGCGCGGGGACAGCAUGGAGGGCGCGGUGUCGGACGUGGCCGUGUGUAACCUGGCGUUCGCGGGGCGCCUCGAGGAGCUGCGGGCGCUGCUGCUCCGCGACAGGGCCCAGGCCACGCGGGCCGACCAGGAUCACCGCACCGCGCUGCACUGGGCCUGCUCGGCGGGACACACGGACGUCGCGGAGCUCCUCCUCGGGCUCGGCGUGCCUGUGAACGAUAAGGACGAUGCUGGUUGGACUCCCCUGCACAUUGCUGCUUCAGCAGGCCGUGAUGAAAUUGUGAAAGCCCUCAUUGCUAAGGGUGCUCAUGUAAAUGCUGUCAAUCAGAAUGGCUGCACGCCCCUGCAUUAUGCAGCCUCCAAAAAUAAGCAGGAGAUUGCAAUCAUGCUUUUGGAGAAUGGAGCAGAUCCAGAUGCAACAGAUCAUUUUGAAUCCACCCCGUUACACAGAGCAGCAGCCAAAGGAAACCUAAAAAUGGUACAGAUCCUUGUGCAGCACAAUGCAACUUUGGAUAUACGGGACUCUGAAGGGAAUACUCCUCUCUUUGCUGACUGCAGAGCCAAAUCCUAACCCAAAGAACUGUCUUAACAUUGCAAGGAGAGCAGCAGGAGGAAUGUUCUUGAGUUGCUUAAUGACAGCAGAGGGACUGGACAGCAAGCUUUGGAAUCUGUCUAGUCAUUUAGCCUGCGAUGAAGAGAGAGUGGAGGAGGCAAAGCUGCUGGUGUCUCAUGGUGCAAGUAUUCACAUUGAGAAUAAAGAAGAGCUGACCCCUCUGAAAGUGGCAAAGGGUGGCCUGGGAGCCAUCCUUAAAAGAAUGGUGGAAGGCUAGAGGGGGCUUCCCACUUGAGUCUCUCUCCUGUUGCACUUCUGCUUAGGAUUGCAAACUUCACAUUUUGAUAG